rnacentral:rRNA from 1 species
AUUGAACGCUGGCGGCAUGCCUUACACAUGCAAAUCGAACGGUAACGGGCCUUCGGGUGCCGACGAGUGGCGAACGGGUGAGUAAUACAUCGGAACGUGCCCGAUCGUGGGGGAUAACGAGGCGAAAGCUUUGCUAAUACCGCAUACGAUCUACGGAUGAAAGCAGGGGACCGCAAGGCCUUGCGCGGACGGAGCGGCCGAUGGCAGAUUAGGUAGUUGGUGGGAUAAAAGCUUACCAAGCCGACGAUCUGUAGCUGGUCUGAGAGGAUGAUCAGCCACACUGGGACUGAGACACGGCCCAGACUCCUACGGGAGGCAGCAGUGGGGAAUUUUGGACAAUGGGCGCAAGCCUGAUCCAGCCAUGCCGCGUGCAGGAUGAAGGCCUUCGGGUUGUAAACUGAUUUUGUACGGAACGAAAAGCCUUCUUUUAAUACAGGAGGGUCAUGACGGUACCGGAAGAAUAAGCACCGGCUAACUACGUG